rnacentral:rRNA from 1 species
CACGUAGGCACCAAGCGUUGUCCGGAUUUAUUGGGCGUAAAGAGCUCGUAGGCGGUUCAGUAAGUCGGGUGUGAAAACUUUGGGCUUAACCCAAAGCGUGCAUCCGAUACUGCUGUGACUUGAGUUCGGUAGGGGAGUGGGGAAUUCCUAGUGUAGCGGUGAAAUGCGCAGAUAUUAGGAGGAACACCGGUGGCGAAGGCGCCACUCUGGGCCGAAACUGACGCUGAGGGGCGAAAGCAUGGGUAGCAAACAGG